GGGAAGAGAAUGAGCCUUGGAGGGAGGAGGGAGCCAUUUCUCUCCACCGACUACGGCGUCUGUGCUCACAGCUCACAUUUCCCCGGAAUCCAGAGGUCUCCUCGGCCAAGGAUUCCAUAAUGCUGGAUAUUUUCCUCCUGAUGUUCUUUGCCAUCAUAGGCCUGGUCAUUCUGUCUUACGUUAUCUAUCUGCUCUAGUGGCCUGCAGCUGCGGCGGCGAGCCCGCAGAACAGCUCAUGGGGGAAGGAUGAACCUGACCAGCCGAGCAUCCUGCUUUGCUGACACACCGGUGGAUUUUUGCUUCUCGUCAUUAUUUCUGCUCCUGGUCUCCAGCCCAAGGAGAGGCUUCUUAUCAACAGCAGCAGUCCUGCUGCCCAGCAGACCUCUUCCAGAGCCUUCCGGAAAUGGUUAACCUCUGUCAAGCAAGGGGUUUUGUGAGCUCAGAGGCAAAGGCACUCAGCUGGGACAUCAGGAAUUCACGGGCAGAUGUUUCCGAGUUCAGGAGCACAUUGUGUAUCUUCAUCUGCAUAGUAGUCACUCAUCAGUCUUUAUAGAUUGCCUAGUCUGGGGCUGUGUGGUUUCCCUCGUCUCACUCUCUGGCCAGAAGGAACUUGUCAUUUGAGUGUUUAAGAUUUAUUGUUAUCUCUUCUAUUCCUUCCACUUUUGCCCAGCUUCUCUUUUAGGAAAAUGGUUAGAUAGUCCUCAUUCUUUGUGCCUGGCUGAAUUAAAAAUCAUUGAAAUGAGAUGGCUAUAUUUACCUUACUUGUUUAUUCAGGAAAAAAAUCUCUCUUACCCAAACUAAAUAUUUUUUACAUUGUUGAAUAUUCCUUUUCUGGAAAAAAGCCCUUCUAUGUAUUUCUCUGUCCAAUUAGGUUUGAAGAAACCACCUUAUUUUGGGGUCCAGAGAAGAGUAGAGUAGAGCUCCAAAUCUGUGGUAUCUAUUCCUGAAAAGUCCAUCAUAAUUUCUACUUUUGCUUUUCCUUUCUAGUUUAAAAAUAAACAAGGAGUAAGAUUAACUUUAAUAGCUUUUAUUCUUAACAUUGUGUUCAAAUUCCAUGCUUUAAAAGGAAAUAAAAUUGAGGCAGUAUAACAUAUGUCACAAUUAAAAUGGAAAACUUGCACUUUAAAAUUUUGGCCAAGGAAAAACCAGUUCUGGAGCUUUGUCCUGGCAACAAAUUAUGUGACCUUAAAUAAGUCAUUUAACUUACAGGGUUUCAAUGUAUUCUGACAAGUGAAAGGUUGGACUUUCUCAUUUUAAAAAUUCUGUAAUUCGAGGAUGCAUAAUCUUUGGCAACUACAACUUUGAGAACAGAAUUCCCAUGGAACAAACUCUUAAUAGUUUACCAGUUGUGUGCGUUUCUGCUCUACCCAAAUGACGUUUUAUAAUAAUUCAUCCGCAAAACUCUUCUUGGCACCAAGAGCCACAUUGUGAGGAGAAAAUGACAAUGUUUAUUUACCCCAAACAUUUAUCACCGAUAAUUUGCCUAAGCUGUUUAGGGAAUAUUAAACAAGUACAAUACUUGUUUGGUAUGUAACAAAAAGAGGUAAUCUGACUGAUAUGCUAAUGCAAGAAGUGGGGCUCUGAACAUUAAUACAUUGAUGGAUGAUCUUCAGUUACCUGUAGAAUCUUUGAUAUGACAUUUCCCACUAAAAAUUUCCUCUGGUUCUUUGGUGAAACUUUGUGUUUCAAACUAAAAUUUUCUACUUCAAGUCACCAUAGCAGCUCUUACCUUACCUAACGUAAUUAGGGCAAGUGUCAGUAUUUUGGAGGGAUCCAAGUUACACAGUUAAUUAUGGUGGCGUAGAUCUUCAUGGUAUGGUCUCUGACUAAGUGGGCUCUGAAGUCUUUUAUAAGGUUAAGGCUCUUCAGUCUGUACCCACACAAAGUUGAAACGACUUACAAAUUCAGUUAAAACAAUCAGCUAAUUUCAGUUAUACACCAGUGGUAUUGUAUACAAUAUAUGGACAGAAAGAUCAAUAUUUUCAGUUACUUGUGAAAUAUUGUUUAAAAAAUAAUUACACUUUGGAAGAAACUUUAUUACUUUGUGCCUAUUUCAUGCUGUAAUAUGAGUUUAUAACAGAGUUCUAUUAUUGUGUUCAUCAUUUUGAUAACAUUUUUUUAAAACCACAUUUAAACUAUUUGUAUUUUGGCAUCCUAAAACAAAACACUGGUAACAGUUAUUUCUGUAAUAUAAAGUUUUGUUAGUUUUACAAAUCUGUGUCAUUGGGCAAUCCUGUCCUAUAAAAUGAGGGCUGUACUUCACCCACAUCAAUGUCGUAAAAAUAACUCUAAAUAAUUGUAGCUUACUUGAAAAAAAUGUGGCAUAAUGCUAAGAUUACAUUAAUACCUGCUUUCUUGGUAAAAAAAAAUAAGGGGUUUGUGUGGAAAAGUGAUGUUAUUUCAUUUCAGGAGAAGAUAGUAUAUUUUGGGAAACAGUUAAGUAAUGGAAUGAUAAUUCUUACUAAGUUAGAACCACCUAAGAGUCACUAUUCUGGGUAUGUGGAAUCAAAUCCAACCUUUUUGAGUCUGAAACUUGGCAUGAUAUGAUUUAUGAAAUUUCAGAAAAUUUGUUUGCUUUUAAAAGGCUUAAAAGUAAUAUUACUCAUACUUCAGAAUCCCUUUAAAGUAUCAUUUUGAUUUUAAAUUACUCAGAAAUAAUGGGAAUUUCCCUUAAUACACACUUAAGCAUAGUUGAAGUGGAAAAUAGUUUUGCUCCCUUUAUUUUAAACAAAUAUAAAGUCAUAUAUAAAGAUGGAAAUAGAAAGUCACUGACACAACUUGCAUUAUAAAUUCAAACAUGUAAAGGCAGAUAUAUUUAGAAAUACUUAAGAAAUGUUUUGUUCUUAGAAAGCCAUUUAAGAUCUUGUUAGUUAUGGGAAAGUACAGGUAAUCCACAAUACUUAAAUAUGUAUUUUGUUUUUUGAAGCUUAUGUUUAACUAUAAUUGAAACAUUUCUAUUUAGCAGCAGCAAUUGGUUUAUUAAUAGGUUGGGAAUUUGGUCUCUGGAUUAAAUAGCAGAAUAAUAAAGAAUACAAUCCUACUUACAGAUUACUGUUCAAUUUAUGAGUUGUUGCGAGUAAAUAAAAUUAUUGAUUUAUAUACUAUAAUAUUAAGCAUAAAUAUAUAACUAAUUGCAACAUUAUUUUAUAUUAAGACAUUUCAUAUUUUGACCAUGGUAGAGCUAUAAUUAACAGCUUAAAUAACUAAGUUCCUCCACAAGAAAUAAUUUA